rnacentral:rRNA from 1 species
UACGGAGGGUGCAAGCGUUGUCCGGAUUUAUUGGGUUUAAAGGGUGCGUAGGCGGCUCUUUAAGUCAGCGGUGAAAGUCCAGGGCUCAACCCUGGGAUUGCCAUUGAUACUGAAGAGCUUGAGUACAGUUGAGGUAGGCGGAAUUGACGGUGUAGCGGUGAAAUGCUUAGAUAUCGUCAAGAACACCGAUUGCGAAGGCAGCUUACUAAGCUGUAACUGACGCUGAGGCACGAAAGUGUGGGGAUCAAACAGG